GCUUCUGUAGCACAGCGAUUAGUGCAGUUCCCUUGUAAAGAACAGGUCGUAGGUUUGAAUCCUACCAGAAGCUCA
rnacentral:tRNA from 1 species